rnacentral:rRNA from 1 species
CAGCCGCCGCGGUAAUACGUAGGGUGCAAGCGUUGUCCGGAAUUAUUGGGCGUAAAGAGCGUGUAGGCGGCUCGACAAGUCCGCUGUGAAAGUCCAGGGCUCAACCCUGGAAUGCCGGUGGAUACUGUCGAGCUAGAGUCCGGAAGGGGCGAGUGGAACUCCCGGUGUAGCGGUGAAAUGCGCAGAUAUCAGGAAGAACACCAAUGGCGAAGGCAGCUCGCUGGGACGUGACUGACGCUGAGACGCGAAAGCGUGGGGAGCGAACAGGAUUAGAUACCCGCGUAGUCCCUGUCUCUUAUAC